rnacentral:rRNA from 1 species
UGGGGAAUAUUGGACAAUGGGCGAAAGCCUGAUCCAGCCAUGCCGCGUGUGUGAAGAAGGUCUUCGGAUUGUAAAGCACUUUAAGUUGGGAGGAAGGGCAGUAAGCGAAUACCUUGCUGUUUUCACGUUACCGACAGAAUAAGCACCGGCUAACUCUGUGCCAGCAGCCGCGGUAAUACAGAGGGUGCAAGCGUUAAUCGGAAUUACUGGGCGUAAAGCGCGCGUAGGUGGUUCGUUAAGUUGAAUGUGAAAGCCCCGGGCUCAACCUGGGAACUGCGUGCAAAACUGGCGAGCUGGAGUAGGGCAGAGGGUGGUGGAAUUUCCUGUGUAGCGGUGAAAUGCGUAGAUAUAGGAAGGAACACCAGUGGCGAAGGCGACCACCUGGGCUCAUACUGACACUGAGGUGCGAAAGCGUGGGGAGCAAACAGG